ACAACCAACACUCUCCGAGCCUGCAAGCCUAACAGGGAAACCUCACGGCCCAGGGCCACCGGGUGCCGCCGGAAACGGCGGCGCCUCCCUUUCGGAAAGGAGAACCAUCAAUGAGAAA
rfam:Geobacter metallireducens GS-15, complete genome.